GAAGCUUAAAUAUUGACGCAAAUGGGCCACGCACAUAUGGACCACUCACGCCCAAAUGGUCAAGCUCAAUUCUUGCGCGAGGACAGCCCACUCCAGCAUGGGCCGGCAGCACUCCAAUUCACUCACACAAUGGACCAAUUCACCGUAGACCCAGCUCCUGCAACCAAGUGCCCACACUCCCGCUCCAUCAACCUUGCACUCAUGAGCCCACAUGACAUGUCCAGCACAUCCAACAAGCACAUGGACAGCCCGCACUUCAAAGCCAUUCACGCGGACCACACUUGCACAUGGACCCACCAAGCUUCCUCACGUGGACCGAGCACGCAGCCCACUCCCGCUCAACAUUCACAUGCAG
rnacentral:lncRNA from 1 species